rnacentral:rRNA from 1 species
GAUGAACGCUGGCGGCGUGCUUAACACAUGCAGGUCGAACGGUGAAAGCGGAGCUUGCUCUGCUGGAUCAGUGGCGAACGGGUGAGUAGCACGUGAGCAAUCUGCCCCUGACUCUGGGAUAAGCGCUGGAAACGGCGUCUAAUACUGGAUACGAGCUGCGAAGGCAUCUUCAGCAGCUGGAAAGAAUUUCGGUCAGGGAUGAGCUCGCGGCCUAUCAGCUUGUUGGUGAGGUAAUGGCUCACCAAGGCGUCGACGGGUAGCCGGCCUGAGAGGGUGACCGGCCACACUGGGACUGAGACACGGCCCAGACUCCUACGGGAGGCAGCAGUGGGGAAUAUUGCACAAUGGGCGCAAGCCUGAUGCAGCAACGCCGCGUGAGGGACGACGGCCUUCGGGUUGUAAACCUCUUUUAGCAGGGAAGAAGCGAAAGUGACGGUACCUGCAGAAAAAGCGCCGGCUAACUACGUGCCAGCCGCCGCUGUAACAC